rnacentral:rRNA from 1 species
UACGAAGGGGGCUAGCGUUGUUCGGAUUUACUGGGCGUAAAGCGCGUGUAGGCGGGUCGUUAAGUUGGGGGUGAAAUCCCGAGGCUCAACCUCGGAACUGCCUUCAAAACUGGCGGCCUGGAGCAAAGAAGAGGCGAGUGGAAUUCCGAGUGUAGAGGUGAAAUUCGUAGAUAUUCGGAGGAACACCAGUGGCGAAGGCGACUCGCUGGUCUUUUGCUGACGCUGAGACGCGAAAGCGUGGGGAGCAAAC